UUCCGGUUGAUCCUGCCGGACCCCACUGCUAUCGAGGUGGGACUAAGCCAUGCCAGUCGAACGACCCGGACUAUGGCGGGGAGUGGCAGACUGCUCAGUAACACGUAGCUAACCUACCCUCGGGACGGGGAUAACCCCGGGAAACUGGGGCUAAUACCCGAUAGGUAUGGAUUCCUGGAAUGGUGCCAUGCCUAAACGUAAGCACAUCCAUGUUUGUGUGCACGCCCGAGGAUGGGGCUGCGGCCGAUCAGGCAGUUGGUGAGGUAACGGCUCACCAAACCUUUGACCGGUACGGGCCAUGAGAGUGGUAGCCCGGAGAUGGGCACUGAGACAAGGGCCCAGGCCCUACGGGGCGCAGCAGGCGCGAAACCUCCACAAUUCACGCAAGUGAGAUGGGGUUACCUCGAGUGCCAUCUGAAGAAGGUGGCUUUUCCAUGGUGUAAUGAGCCGUGGGAAUAAGGGGGGGGCAAGACUGGUGUCAGCCGCCGCGGUAACACCAGCCCCCCGAGUGGUGGGGAUGAUUAUUUGGCCUAAAGCGUCCGUAGCCAGCUCGGUAAAUCUCUCGUUAAAUCCAGCGUCCUAAGCGUUGGGCUGCGAGGGAAACUGCCGAACUAGAGGGUGGGAGAGGUCAGCGGUAUUCCUGGGGUAGGGGCGAAAUCCAUUGAUCCCAGGAGGACCACCAGUGGCGAAGGCUGCUGACUAGAACACGCCUGACGGUGAGGGACGAAAGCUGGGGUAGCGAAUCGGAUUAGAUACCCGAGUAGUCCCAGCCGUAAACGAUGCAGCUAGGUGUUGGGUCGGCCAUGCGCCGCCUCAGUGCCACAGGGAAGCCAUUAAGCCUGCCGCCUGGGGAGUACGGCCGCAAGGCUGAAACUUAAAGGGAAUUGGCGGGGGGAGCACACCAGGCGUGAAGCUGCGAUUAAUUGGAUUCAACGCGGG
rnacentral:rRNA from 1 species